UACGGGGGGAGCAAGCGUUGUUCGGAUUUACUGGGCGUAAAGGGCGCGUAGGCGGCCACGACAAGUCAGUUGUGAAAUCUCUGGGCUUAACUCAGAACGGUCAACUGAUACUGUCGGGCUAGAGUGCGGAAGAGGCGAGUGGAAUUCCUGGUGUAGCGGUGAAAUGCGCAGAUAUCAGGAGGAACACCUAUUGCGAAGGCAGCUCGCUGGGACGUAACUGACGCUGAGACGCGAAAGCGUGGGGAGCAAACAGG
rnacentral:rRNA from 1 species